rnacentral:rRNA from 1 species
CACCGCGGUUAUACGAGAGGCCCAAGUUGACAGACAACGGCGUAAAGAGUGGUUAGGGAAAUUUUUUAAACUAAAGCCGAACGUCCUCAGAGCUGUUUAACGCUUCCGAGUUAAGAAGCCCCACUACGAAAGUAGCUUUACCCCACCUGACCCCACGAAAGCUGUGAAA